UCAGAUUCCAAAGUUCUGUAUUUUUCAAAAUAAAGAUCACACAUUGUUUAGAGACAAUCUACACAAGAGUUACAAAAAAUAGUUGCCCAGGCAUAAGCAUACACAGGUUUGUUAAUUAUACACAUAUGGUUACAAGUGUGCUUGCAAAAAAGUUCAUUGGAAAUAUACACAAGGCUCUGGAAAUGUACACCGUGUAGUGUUACAAUUCUAUAUUCAAACAAGGAAAAUUGACAGUAUGUUACAUUCACUUACAAGUAGACAAAAUGCAAAAUACAGUUCAUCUUCUGUACAAAAAGGAAGGGCAAUUCACACUUUACAAGGUGAGAGGAGCUCUGAUUGUAAGGAAAACUGGGGCAUGGCUGAACUUUUACACGUCCUUUUGACUGUCACAAAAUAAGCAAAACAUUACUUUUUUAGGGUUAAAAGAAAAAAAUACUAGUGUGAACUCAAUCAUCCAGAAUAACAUUUAGAAAGGAUCUCACUACUUUCUGACUAGCUGACAAAUAAAACCAAGCUAUUCUUUUCUUCUUAAACAUUAACUAGGCUGUAUAAAGAACAUUUAUUCCUUCAAAAGAAAAAAAUUUACUUCUGGUUGAAAUUACAAUUUACAAUAUACAACACUAUAUGCUACGACCAUAAAAGGUGAGAAUAUACACUGAAUGCACAGGGCUGGCUAAUUCUCUUUUCUUACCAAAAAACGUGUUUAUGUUGAUUCAAACUUCUCCACAUUUACAUUACAGGUAUACAAAUGUACAAUUGUACAAUCAAAAGUAUGUUCGACUACUAGGGUACAUUAUAGAUACAGAUUAGACAUCAAAACAAGAAAAUACUACAAAUUUGUAUAUAUGCAAAGUCUACACCAAGUAUACACUAUAUAUUUAUAGAAGCAAGACCAAAAGCAGAGUUGGAUUUUUUUUUUCUCAUGCUAAAUAAUCAGAUUUUGCCUUUCAAUGUUAACAGAAAAAAAUCCAGUAGGCAGUAAACAGUCACACCCACCCGGCCCUGAAAGACAUUCUGGGUGCUGUGCCUCCUCGCAAGACGGACCACAUCAGCUUCCUCGGUACACUAGCAUCUCCAAAAGGAGCGGCUUUCACAAGUUUCAUGAACACAAUGUCAUAAACUGAAGUUUUAGCAAUUCUGAAACGUUUUUCAUUUUUUUUUAUAUGUGUGCGUGUAUGUGUGUGUAUUAUAUAUAUAUACUUUUUAUAAACAGUGUUAAAUGCCAGUUCGGGGUCAUUUAACUAAAAUUCAAACUUCCUGGGUUUUUUUUUUGUUUUCAUUUUUUACUAAAAUGAGGAGGUGGGGAAGAGCUAUUUGCAAAACUUGCCAAUGAGGCAAAUGAGUUAAAAACCUUUUUUUUCUUUUUUAAAAACUUUUUUUGUUAAACCAACCACCCUGAAAGUUUCCAUACAUGGAAUAUAGAUACAACAUUGAACAAAAUAUGUGACCUCCCAUGUACAUUGGUUACCUAUGUACAAGUAUCCUAUACACCAGUAAAACAGCAGGGCAAUUAGUCAAUUAAAAAAAAUAAUUAGUACAUGUUAUGUGUAAUAAAAUUAAAUUUACAAAGGCUUUUCCACUGGUUGACUGAUUCCUUUUGGAGGAGGGGAGCAAUCCCAGAGCAACCAUGUGCCCAUUUCAGGCUCUACACUAGGACAUUUCGGGUUGCUGGUUGAUCUGCUAGGGGCCAGUGAGGUCAGCAGUAAUGGGAUCGGGGUGCAUUGCUCAGAUGAUACCAUUAGGAGGGCCACAGAUAGGCCCCAAAUCCACGCCAUUCUUCAUGUAGUAUUUCUCUAGCUUGGCCAGGAUGUGCUUGCCAUAGGUGUACUUGCGAAGAGUUGCAAUGUGGGGCCGGAUCUGAGGAGGAAAGACAAGCUGAGUUAUGCUGGCCUCAGCUCUGGCACGCACCCAUAGAUAAACCAUCAUGCACACACGCACACUCCCACAGCGAUGCCUUUCACUGGUUCAGCAAGUCUCCUGAGCUUCGGAGUUUUCAUGACCCAUCAGAUGAGGAGAACAGCUCUUCCCGUGAGCACUGACACAGGAUGUGAGGGCUCAGAGGCCAGGUGACAUGGCCCACUCCCAGGACAGCAGACACACAGUACACCGACUGGCCAGCUGCACGGUGCCACGCUACAAGGGCACACCCUGGCAUCCUGGCCUCAUACACUGUAUCCAGGCUGAGGAAAUGAGGGUUUAUUUCUGGGUUCCAUGAACCCUGGGCUCACCAC
ensembl:lncRNA